GCUCUGGUAGCCUAGUGGUUAGUGCAUCUGCCCCAGAUGCAGGAGGUUAUGGGUUUAAACCCCAGCCAAGUCA